UACAGAGGCCUCGAGCGUUAAUCGGAGUCACUGGGCUUAAAGGGUGCGUAGGCGGCGCUGCAAGUGCCUUGUGAAAUCCCACGGCUCAACCGUGGAAUUGCUCGGCAGACUGCAGUGCUUGAGGUUGGUAGGGGUCGCUGGAACUCUAGGUGGAGCGGUGAAAUGCGUAGAUAUCUAGAGGAACGCCGAAGGUGAAGACAGGCGACUGGGCCAAUUCUGACGCUGAGGCACGAAAGCGUGGGGAGCGAACGGG
rnacentral:rRNA from 1 species